UUUCCGUAAGUGAACCUGCGGAAGGAUCAUUAUUGUAUAACCGAGGUGCGAGGGCUGUCGCUGACCCGAAAGGUCGUGCACGCCCGAGUGCCCUCACACACAUCCAUCUCACCCCUAAGUGCACCACCGCGUGGGUCCCCCUUUGGCUUGUUCGGAGGGGGGCUUACGUUUUCACACAAACUUUGUAUGCAGUGUAGAAUGUAUUUUUUGUUUUUGCGAUCACGCAAUCAAUACAACUUUCAACAACGGAUCUCUUGGCUCUC
rnacentral:misc_RNA from 1 species